UUAAGCGACUAAGCGUACACGGUGGAUGCCCUGGCAGUCAGAGGCGAUGAAGGACGUGCUAAUCUGCGAUAAGCGUCGGUAAGGUGAUAUGAACCGUUAUAACCGGCGAUUUCCGAAUGGGGAAACCCAGUGUGAUUCGUCACACUAUCAUUAACUGAAUCCAUAGGUUAAUGAGGCGAACCGGGGGAACUGAAACAUCUAAGUACCCCGAGGAAAAGAAAUCAACCGAGAUUCCCCCAGUAGCGGCGAGCGAACGGGGAGCAGCCCAGAGCCUGAAUCAGUGUGUGUGUUAGUGGAAGCGUCUGGAAAGGCGCGCGAUACAGGGUGACAGCCCCGUACACAAAAAUGCACAUGCUGUGAGCUCGAUGAGUAGGGCGGGACACGUGGUAUCCUGUCUGAAUAUGGGGGGACCAUCCUCCAAGGCUAAAUACUCCUGACUGACCGAUAGUGAACCAGUACCGUGAGGGAAAGGCGAAAAGAACCCCGGCGAGGGGAGUGAAAAAGAACCUGAAACCGUGUACGUACAAGCAGUGGGAGCACGCUUAGGCGUGUGACUGCGUACCUUUUGUAUAAUGGGUCAGCGACUUAUAUUCUGUAGCAAGGUUAACCGAAUAGGGGAGCCGAAGGGAAACCGAGUCUUAACUGGGCGUUAAGUUGCAGGGUAUAGACCCGAAACCCGGUGAUCUAGCCAUGGGCAGGUUGAAGGUUGGGUAACACUAACUGGAGGACCGAACCGACUAAUGUUGAAAAAUUAGCGGAUGACUUGUGGCUGGGGGUGAAAGGCCAAUCAAACCGGGAGAUAGCUGGUUCUCCCCGAAAGCUAUUUAGGUAGCGCCUCGUGAAUUCAUCUCCGGGGGUAGAGCACUGUUUCGGCAAGGGGGUCAUCCCGACUUACCAACCCGAUGCAAACUGCGAAUACCGGAGAAUGUUAUCACGGGAGACACACGGCGGGUGCUAACGUCCGUCGUGAAGAGGGAAACAACCCAGACCGCCAGCUAAGGUCCCAAAGUCAUGGUUAAGUGGGAAACGAUGUGGGAAGGCCCAGACAGCCAGGAUGUUGGCUUAGAAGCAGCCAUCAUUUAAAGAAAGCGUAAUAGCUCACUGGUCGAGUCGGCCUGCGCGGAAGAUGUAACGGGGCUAAACCAUGCACCGAAGCUGCGGCAGCGACGCUGAUGCGUUGUUGGGUAGGGGAGCGUUCUGUAAGCCUGCGAAGGUGUGCUGUGAGGCAUGCUGGAGGUAUCAGAAGUGCGAAUGCUGACAUAAGUAACGAUAAAGCGGGUGAAAAGCCCGCUCGCCGGAAGACCAAGGGUUCCUGUCCAACGUUAAUCGGGGCAGGGUGAGUCGACCCCUAAGGCGAGGCCGAAAGGCGUAGUCGAUGGGAAACAGGUUAAUAUUCCUGUACUUGGUGUUACUGCGAAGGGGGGACGGAGAAGGCUAUGUUGGCCGGGCGACGGUUGUCCCGGUUUAAGCGUGUAGGCUGGUUUUCCAGGCAAAUCCGGAAAAUCAAGGCUGAGGCGUGAUGACGAGGCACUACGGUGCUGAAGCAACAAAUGCCCUGCUUCCAGGAAAAGCCUCUAAGCAUCAGGUAACAUCAAAUCGUACCCCAAACCGACACAGGUGGUCAGGUAGAGAAUACCAAGGCGCUUGAGAGAACUCGGGUGAAGGAACUAGGCAAAAUGGUGCCGUAACUUCGGGAGAAGGCACGCUGAUAUGUAGGUGAAGUCCCUCGCGGAUGGAGCUGAAAUCAGUCGAAGAUACCAGCUGGCUGCAACUGUUUAUUAAAAACACAGCACUGUGCAAACACGAAAGUGGACGUAUACGGUGUGACGCCUGCCCGGUGCCGGAAGGUUAAUUGAUGGGGUCAGCGCAAGCGAAGCUCUUGAUCGAAGCCCCGGUAAACGGCGGCCGUAACUAUAACGGUCCUAAGGUAGCGAAAUUCCUUGUCGGGUAAGUUCCGACCUGCACGAAUGGCGUAAUGAUGGCCAGGCUGUCUCCACCCGAGACUCAGUGAAAUUGAACUCGCUGUGAAGAUGCAGUGUACCCGCGGCAAGACGGAAAGACCCCGUGAACCUUUACUAUAGCUUGACACUGAACAUUGAGCCUUGAUGUGUAGGAUAGGUGGGAGGCUU
rnacentral:rRNA from 1 species